rnacentral:rRNA from 1 species
AGGAAUAUUGGUCAAUGGGCGGGAGCCUGAACCAGCCAAGUCGCGUGAGGGAAGACGGCCCUAUGGGUUGUAAACCUCUUUUGUCAGGGAGCAAGAACAGGCACGUGUGCCUGACUGAGAGUACCUGAAGAAAAAGCAUCGGCUAACUCCGUGCCAGCAGCCGCGGUAAUACGGAGGAUGCGAGCGUUAUCCGGAUUUAUUGGGUUUAAAGGGAGCGUAGGCGGACGCUUAAGUCAGUUGUGAAAGUUUGCGGCUCAACCGUAAAAUUGCAGUUGAUACUGGGUGUCUUGAGUACAGUAGAGGCAGGCGGAAUUCGUGGUGUAGCGGUGAAAUGCUUAGAUAUCACGAAGAACUCCGAUUGCGAAGGCAGCUUGCUGGACUGUAACUGACGCUGAUGCUCGAAAGUGUGGGUAUCAAACAGGAUUAGAUACCCUGGUAGUCCACACAGUAAACGAUGAAUACUCGCUGUUUGCGAUAUACAGUAAGCGGCCAAGCGAAAGCGUUAAGUAUUCCACCUGGGGAGUACGCCGGCAACGGUGAAACUCAAAGGAAUUGACGGGGGCCCGCACAAGCGGAGGAACAUGUGGUUUAAUUCGAUGAUACGCGAGGAACCUUACCCGGGCUUGAAUUGCAACUGAAUGAUGUGGAGACAUGUCAGCCGCAAGGCAGUUGUGAAGGUGCUGCAUGGUUGUCGUCAGCUCGUGCCGUGAGGUGUCGGCUUAAGUGCCAUAACGAGCGCAACCCUUAUCGAUAGUUACCAUCAGGUUAUGCUGGGGACUCUGUCGAGACUGCCGUCGUAAGAUGUGAGGAAGGUGGGGAUGACGUCAAAUCAGCACGGCCCUUACGUCCGGGGCUACACACGUGUUACAAUGGGGGGUACAGAAGGCAGCUACACGGCGACGUGAUGCUAAUCCCUAAAGCCUCUCUCAGUUCGGAUUGGAGUCUGCAACCCGACUCCAUGAAGCUGGAUUCGCUAGUAAUCGCGCAUCAGCCACGGCGCGGUGAAUACGUUCCCG